rnacentral:lncRNA from 11 species
CCUGAGUUCACUCAGGAUCAGGAAAGCAAUGAAGCACAGUUAACUAUCCCAGAAAGACUGCAACUGAGGUCUCGUGCUAUUCAGCUGCAUAGACCCACCUGGCUGGCACAGAGAAAGGCCAACAGGUGAGAGCACUUGUGCUAUGGGGCAUAAAGAGUGGCAGUUUGGAUUGGUCUUUGCUGGGAGCAAUGUUUGGAACCUGAUACAGCUUGGAGUUCUGUUGGAUGACUUUGUGUGCCUUAUCAUGUGUCAGACCUUGGCUUUGGACUUUGGAUUAUGUAUAGUUUUGGAUGUUUUGGAUUUAAAUAUAAGCCAAGCUGUUCUGUAGAUGGAGGCCGAUGUGCCAAAUAUUGUGAGAAGACUGAAUAUGGCUACUAUGGCUAUGAUUGCCCUCUCUGCUGUUUUAAGUACAAGAAGUAUGACUAAAAAGGGAGGAUGCCACUGAGAUGGGCCAAGAGGAUGUGACCCAUUGCUUAGCUACCAAGAAGGCAUCAUGUUUGAUCUCCUUCAAUAAAUGCAAAAAAAAAAAAUGUUCAGCUGUCUCUUGUGUCCUUCCUUGGGGGGGAGAUGCAUUGGUGGAUAAAAGAAAUCUCUCAGCCUAAUUGUCUUUGUUUUUAUCAUCUUAUACCAUCUGCCAGAUGGUAAUAAUUCAAAAAAGGACUAUCCAUUGUGAGAUGGAUCCUAAACAAUAUUUUGAGCCUUCUUAAAACAACGGCAAUCAUUAAAAUAAUUUCAAAAAGGAGAGAAGGCGACCAAUAAUUCUCUGGUAACCCUUUGGAGCGUUGUCCUUUCUGCCACUGUGCAAUUGGCAAAUCAUAUAUACGCUCUAUGGCACAAAGGUAGAAAAUUACCAGCAGUUUUUCAUUCAGC